CUUUGUCUAUUUGCUUGGACAAGGAGUGGCUGUGACCGAAGGGUCAGCAAAAAUAUUAUGCAACUCUGGUGGACCAGGCCGGACCAUCCCAGAAGGGAGUGCCUGUAGAUCGUUUUGACAUUUUACAAUCGAUCUGAGGCUUGAGUUGCUUCAAGAGAUGGAUUCUGCUCUACAAACUUUAUAGGAAGACUCAAGAGGAGCUGGACUAUUCCUGGGAAACUGAGCUCUGGGGCUGGCAGGGUGUUCCGUCUCCUCAGCACAAGAACACUCCGUGAAAUCACCGGGUGCCGCAUACUGGGAGAGAAGAGGGUCAAGCAACAGAUGCAGAGUCAGUAAGCCUUUGAUCGACUAUAGAGGACCACUUCCCAGUAUCAAAACUACAGGGCAAAGUCAGCUCACGGAACAUGAUGAGCCACACUGCAAGUUACUCAAAUGUCCCGUGGGACUCCUAGACCGGUCCCCUUACCCUGCUCUUGAUACCCUGGCCUGAAUACUUUGCCCAAGAUUUUUCUGGAUGUGGCCAGAGAAUCCAUAAGGCUGUGUUCAUGGCAUUAAACAAUCUUCCAAAAAGACUACAUGAAAAUUAACAAAUGCAACGCUGAGGAGCAAAGCUA